GAUGAACGCUAGCGGCAGGCCUAACACAUGCAAGUCGAGGGGCAGCAUAUUAGAACUUUCGGGUUUUAAAGAUGGCGACCGGCGGACGGGUGCGUAACGCGUAUGCAACCUACCUAUAACAGGGGGAUAAUCGAGAGAAAUUUUGUCUAAUACCCCGUAACACUAGAUAAGGCAUCUUAUAUAGUUGAAAGAUUAAUCGGUUAUAGCUGGGCAUGCGUAACAUUAGAUAGAUGGUGAGGUAACGGCUCACCAUGUCCACGAUGUUUAGGGGAACUGAGAGGUUAAUCCCCCACACUGGUACUGAGACACGGACCAGACUCCUACGGGAGGCAGCAGUGAGGAAUAUUGGUCAAUGGUCGAGAGACUGAACCAGCCAUGCCGCGUGCAGGAUGACGGCUCUAUGAGUUGUAAACUGCUUUUGUAAAGGAAUAAAAACAGGUAUGUAUACUUUAUUGCAAGUACUUUACGAAUAAGGAUCGGCUAACUCCGUGCCAGCAGCCGCGGUAAUACGGAGGAUUCGAGCGUUAUCCGGAUUUAUUGGGUUUAAAGGGUGCGUAGGUUGUAGUUUAAGUUAGUGGUCAAAUAUAGUGGCUUAACCAUUUAUUCGCCAUUAAUACUGAAUUACUCGAGUAUGGAUGCAGCAGGCGGAAUGUGUAGUGUAGCGGUGAAAUGCAUAGAUAUUACACAGAACACCAAUUGCGAAGGCAGCUUGCUAAACCAUUACUGACACUGAUGCACGAAAGCGUGGGUAGCGAACGGGGAUUAGAUACCCCGGUAGUCCACGCAGUAAACGAUGAUAACUCGUUGUA
rnacentral:rRNA from 1 species